GAUGCCGCUAUAAAAUUAAGGGAUUAAGGGUAAAGAAAGUUAAACUGCGGCUUCGGAGGCCCUAUGUCCUCGAUUCUGUUACGGUCAAUUCGUUGCCUAUUGUGCAUAGCAAUCCGAUUGAGGAUAAUUAGAAGAAGAGGUGGG
ensembl:ncRNA R08B4.13 ncRNA